rnacentral:rRNA from 1 species
GGCUUAGAGUUUGAUCAUGGCUCAGGAUGAACGCUGGCGGCGUGCCUAACACAUGCAAGUCGAGCGAACUCUUCGGAGUGAGCGGCGGACGGGUGAGUAACGCGUGGGUAACCUGCCCUGUACACAUGGAUAACAUACCGAAAGGUAUGCUAAUACAAGAUAAAAUAUAUUUAUCGCAUGAUAGAUAUAUCAAAGCGUUAGCGGUACAGGAUGGACCCGCGUCUGAUUAGCUAGUUGGUAAGGUAAAGGCUUACCAAGGCGACGAUCAGUAGCCGACCUGAGAGGGUGAUCGGCCACAUUGGAACUGAGACACGGUCCAAACUCCUACGGGAGGCAGCAGUGGGGAAUAUUGCACAAUGGGCGAAAGCCUGAUGCAGCAACGCCGCGUGAGCGAAGAAGGCCUUCGGGUCGUAAAGCUCUGUCCUCAAGGAAGAUAAUGACGGUACUUGAGGAGGAAGCUCCGGCUAACUACGUGCCAGCAGCCGCGGUAAUACGUAGGGGGCAAGCGUUAUCCGGAUUUACUGGGCGUAAAGGGUGCGUAGGCGGUCUUACAAGUCAGGAGUGAAAGGCUACGGCUCAACCGUAGUAAGCUCUUGAAACUGUUAGACUUGAGUGCAGGAGAGGAGAGUG